rfam:Fictibacillus phosphorivorans strain G25-29, complete genome.
CUGUGAGGUAGAGGUCGCAUGAAUUAUGAGUAGAACUGUUAGAGGCAAGUGGUGCUUUUGACAACAGUUUAAAAGGAAUUAAUGCCGAAAUGGGUUGAUAUCCACGUAACAACCCAUUGGGGCUGCAUUGAACAAGUGCAGAACUGUCGCAGAACUUUCUGCGUUGAGCUAUGAGAGAU